ACGCGCGGGCUGACCCGGCGGCGGGCGGGCGGGGCGGCCGGGACGCGGGAGCAUGGAGCCUCGCGCCGGCUGCUGGCUCCCCGUGCGGGUGGAGCAGGUCGUCAACGGCGCGCUGCUGGUCACCGUGAGCUGCGGCCAGCGCAGCUUCGCUGGGAUCCUGCUGGACUGCACGAAAAAGUCUGGCCUCUUCGGCCUGCCCCUGUCCACUCCGCUACCACAGGCUGAGGACACCCCUGUCAACGGCUGCCAGAGCCCAGCCCCCCCGGAGGGGGACACAGAGGCGAUGCAGCUGGGGACGGGCCCCCUGCCACCUCCCUGCCCCGAGCCACCCCCGCCCCUGGUGCCACCACUGCCCGCUGGGAACCUGCCCCCAUUCCCGCCGUAUUUCGAGGACGCCCCCUUCCCGCCCCCGCUCUGGCUGAGAAACACUUACCGGCAGUGGGUACCGCAGCCGCCACCCCGGCCCAUCAAGAGGACAAGAAGACGCCUGUCACGUAACCGCGACCCUGGCCGGCUAGCCCUGAGCCCCAUCUGCCUGCGGCCUCGCCGGGUGCUCUGUGAGAAGUGCAAGAGCACCGUGAGCCCCCCGGAGGCCAGCCCGGGCCCACCGGCCGCCCCCCGGCCACGCAGGAGGCUGGGCAGUGGCCCCGACCCUGACAGGGAGCUGCGUAAGCACGAGGACCCCGAUGGCAGGGGUGACACCGUGCCCUCAGCCCCCGCAAGGAGGAGCAAGAGGGAGAAGCGGAAGGAGGAGGACCAGGCCCGGGUGCCCCGGAGCCCCGCCAUCAAAAUCUCCUACAGCACGCCCCAGGGCACGGGAGAGGUGGUGGAGAUCCCGUCCCGCGUGCACGGCUCCCUGGAGCCCUUCUGUGCCCCCCAGGACCCCGAGGUGCUGCGGGACAGGCCACCCAGCGGGCCCUCUGCCUCCAUCCCAAAGCUGAAGCUAACACGGCCCCUGCCCCCUGGUGCCGAUCUGCCGCCCCCGAAGAUCCGCCUGAAGCCCCACCGCUUGGGUGCUGGUGAGCAGGAGCCCGUGUACAGAGCCGAGCUGGUGGAGGAGCUCAACGGCCACGGGCGAGGCCCUCGGGCCGGCUCGCCCGCUCUCCCUGCCCCCGGCUCUGCCCCGCGUGGGCUGGCAGAUGUGUCUUCCGGAAGUUCUGGUGAGGAUGAUGACUUCAAGAGGUGUCCCCAAGAUAAACCCAGGCGUGACGGCCUGGCUUUUCUUACCACCUGCCCUAGGAGCAGCACAGACUGUGCCAGUGAGUCGGUGUGGAGCAGCGACAGCCUGGACGAGUCCAAAUCGUCCAGCUCAGAAGUAACAUCACUAGACACGUGUGACUUUUCCUCCGGUGAUGGCGUGUCUGUGCCGUCCUCGUCCAAGGAUACGGGGCAGACGGUCCCACCCCUGACGGUCAGGCUGCACACACAGAGUGUCUCCAAGUGCAUUACCGAGGACGGAAGGACCGUGGCCGUAGGGGACAUCGUGUGGGGUAAGAUUCAUGGUUUUCCUUGGUGGCCAGCACGUGUCCUUGACAUCAGUCUUAGCCAGAAGGAGGACGGGGAGCCCUCUUGGCAAGAAGCCAAAGUCUCAUGGUUUGGGUCUCCGACUACGUCAUUCUUGUCCACUUCAAAACUCUCCCCUUUCUCUGAAUUUUUCAAACUGAGAUUUAACCGCAAGAAGAAGGGGUUGUACAGGAAAGCCAUAACAGAGGCCGCCAGCGCUGCGCGGCAUGUGGCCCCGGAAGUCAGGGAGCUCUUAACCCAGUUUGAAACGUGACUGGGGCUCCCGGACCAGGUGAGUGCAUGCACAGAGGGCGGCUUCCUUCCUGGCGUCCCGAGCCUGCGUCUGCAUCAAGGCUGUCCCUCUGCUCUGGGUCCUGUAGCCAGGGGGCUCAGGGACGUCCCCAGGCAUCUGGCACGCUGCUCCGAAGGGGCCAUCCAGAGAAUCGUCUUGCUUGCUGGCACUGUCAUCCAGCUUUGUGGACCACAGAAGAGAUGCUUUAAAAGUUGACCAAUCGUCAGCUGCUUGUUCAGGAACGAAGCUAGUCUGUGUUUGGUGGCCAUUUUUCAAAGUGCAGUGCAAGGGCUCCUUCCUCAUAUGUUACCCUUUUGGAGAAAGGGGUGUGUUUUUAAAGGCGACGGUUCUGACCGAUGGGAGAGUACAGGGAGGGUACAGGUUCCUCUUCUGUUAGUCACUCAGGGAUGCACCUUCCUCUUCCUGAAGCCUGCAGCUGCCACCUUUCUCCUCCUGCUCGCACUCAGGUCACCGACCAUGAGGGCAUGGCUGUUCUCCUGGAGCUUCCGACUUUGGGGGUGUCCUCUGUCCUCCGUGCCCCCCCAUUCUAUCUGAGGGACCCUGCGUGCCUUCUGUCUGGCUGCAUGCAGAAACAAGCCGGGCCUGCGGUGGUCAGCCUGGCUGGAGGCCCCUGGAGGACAGGUGUGUCGGCCAUGAGGACAGACCCCCAGGAGCACGUGGGUCCUCUCGACUGAGUGUAUUUGGUGCAGUGACUCAGACGUUAGCUGUGGAGCAGCAGGAGCCCAGGCACACCCUUGCUGCUGCCACCUCGUGUCUGGGACUGUGCCCCUGGGGUGGGCACCGGAAGGCUGUCAGCUCAGGGCUGCCCUGCAGGCUGCACUGGGGCCGUCCUUCCUUCCCAAGCCCAGCACGGCGUCUCUGGGAACCCGCCUGCGCCCCAUCUUGUUCUUCUCAGAGCUUGGGUCCCACCAGGCCACCCUGUCCUGAGAUGCUGCCAGGAGGUACCUGGGUGUGAUGAGGGCCAUCACUUUGAAAACAGACUUAAUGUAGAAAGGAAGAAAACUUCGCUCUGUUUUUUGUAAGAGUGUGUUCCUCUCCCCUUUUUGUCACUUUAACGACCAGAAAGGAAAAGAAAAUGAGCCCUGCUCUUUGUUCAGUGCGGACGAGAACAGGUACAUGUCCAGCUA